GAUCAUAUCACUGUCUAUGUUAUAUAGAACCACUAAUUGAUCAUAAUGGUCCCUUCUGAUCUUGGAUUCUAUGAUUCUAUGAACUGGCAUAGCUAUAGCAGGACAAAACAGGAGUCUACAGUGGGCCUUAGUCUCUCACUCCAGGCAGGUUUUCCAGAACUGGAAUCAGUCACGCCAGAAGCUGAAGCUGGACAAAUUCAGACUGGAAGCAGGAAUCACAUUUUUACCCUCAGGGAUGACACCCACACAGACCCGCCAUACCAGCUGGACGACACUCCUGCUUCACCAGCUUCUGUCUGUUCAUCCAUGGCUGACUCCAGACCUCAAAGUGACAAGACUUCCAGGAGAGAGAGAGAAAAACAGGCCUUGCGUCAGAAUUUCAGAAAUGAACCUUACAGAAACCUGCCUGGAGGCAGCAGGGACGAGUGGAUUGGCAGGGCGUGGUGAUGGUGGGGAGCUGUGGAAACUACAGAUCCCAGGAUGCCAUGCUCAACAAUAAGUGGCCUCCACUUGAAUCAGGAUGAAGCAAGAUAUGCUGGGAGCUGCAGUACCCUCGGCCAUACCUUCAUACCUGUUCCAUUUAAUGCAAAUUAAGUGUAUCCUUUGGGCUCCUACUCAGUUGGAGAUGUGGCCCUCAGCCUGGUGUCCCCAAUUUCAGAACUCCUGGAGUUACUGAGGGAAGGAGAAAAGUAGUGAUUCAUAAUACCUCUGCCCAGAAUCUGCUCUCUGUGAUAGCAGUGUAAAUCCAGAACCACCUCAUUCAAAUCAGUGAGAUGAAUCCACACUUAUCCUGGUGCACAGAGAGCAGAAUCUGGCCCUAAUCCCAUGGAGGUCAGUGAUGUGACACUAGAGUCACACCAGUUUAAUUGACCUAUUAAGAGUGGGAGGAUCUGAUUAUGUGGACCCUGUGAUGAAACAGGAUUUUUCCGUAAUAUGUUUAUGCCCCUAUGUGUGCCUCUGUUUCCUCUACAUUUUGUAUGGCUGCCCAGUGGGGGGAAAAAGGACUGUCUGUCUGAGCCUGAAUGGGUCGUUAAAAAGGACUGGCCGAGGGUGACCCCAUAUCAAUGGAGAAUCCGAGAAGCCAGUAGCAAAUCCAGUCACCAGGACACUUGACACCUAACAACCAAUGACCCAGAGGGAGAUGGAUUUCCCCACCUCUCAGCAGGGAAGCUGAGCAAGAUCCCCCAGCUCCAGAACAAAGGACUUGGAAGGUGGGGGGGGAUAGGAACUGGCUGCUGGAUGGAGUCUGGGCUCUCACCUUGGAGUUGAUCAAGGACAUCAGACAGAGAGAGAGAGACAGCCUGAAUUUGGAGUUUGCUACAGCUUGCUGGGCUCUGCGCUGGCCAGAAUGGACCAGGACUAGGCUUUGUCCUUCAUUUCUCUGUGCUCACCUAAGGACGGCCUACGCGGUGUUCCAGCUGACUAAUAAACCCGACUGUUUUGACAACACUGUUUGAGUGUCAC